rnacentral:lncRNA from 1 species
UCCUUCCUUCCUUCCUUCCUUCCUUCCUUCCUCCUUCCUUCCUUCCUUCCUCCUUCCUUCCUUCCUUUCUUUCUUUCUUUCUUUCUUUCUUUCUUCCUUCCUUCCUUCUUUCUUUCUUUCUUUCCUUCUUUCUUUCUUUCUUUCUUUCUUUCUUUCUUUCUUUCUUUCUUUCUUUCUUUCUUUCUUUCUUUCUUUCUUUCUUUCUUUCUUUCUUUCUUUCUUUCUUCCUUCCUUCCUUCCUCUCUUUCUUUCUUUUUUUUUUUUAGCAAACUAAGGCAGUGGACUUGGAAUCAGGAAGCCUUGGGUCCAAAUUUUGCCUCAAAUAUGAAACUCUGGACAAACCACUUAAACCUUUCUGUUUCUCACUUUUUUCAUCUGAAAAAAUUAAGAGAUUGGCCUUAAUGUCCUCUAUGCUUCCUUUCAACUCCCAGUUUAUAAUCCUAUAAUUCUAUGAAUGACUGUUUUCCUGAAGGAAGGACUGUGUUCCAAUGUUAGAUAAUAUAAUUCCUUGAAAUAACUUCAUAAUUAAGUUAUCUUUAUAUCCAAUAGAGUCUGUCACAGGGACUUAGCUAUCAUGUGCUUAACAAAUGUUGACUUGAGGUUGGGCUGGUGGCACACAGCUAUAAUCCUUGCUAUCAGGCAGGCUAAGGCUGGGGGAACUUUGGAGCUCAGAAUUUCUGAGCUUCACUUGACUAAGCCAGUCAGGUUUCUGCACCAAGUCCAGUACCAAUGUGGAGGCAAGGAAGGAGGAACCUGGUUGUCAAAGUAGGAACAGAUUAGCCCAGGUCAGAAAACAGAGCAGAUCAGAAGUCAGAUGGGACUUCUAAGUAGCCUCUGCAGUUCCAUGAAGAGAUAGAUAGAUAGAGAUAGAUAAAUUGUUGCUCAGGCACGCGUAACUCUUCAUGACCCCAUUUGGGGUUUUCUUGAUAAAGAUACUAAAGUGGUAUAUCACUCCCUUCUCCAAUUCAUUUUUCUGAUGAAGAAACUGAGGCAAACAGGAUUAAGGGACUUGCCCAGGGUCAUAUAGCUAGCAAGUGUCUAAGGCCAUAUUUGAACUCAUGAAGUCAAAUCUUCCUGAUUCUGAACUUAGUGCUCUAUCCAUUGUGAUGCCUAGAUAGAUAGAUAGAUAGAUAGAUAGAUAGAUAGAUAGAUAGAUAGAUAGAUGGAUGGAUGGAUGGAUGGAUGGAUAAAUGGAGAUAGAUGAUAGAUAAACAAAGACACAAUGAGGAAUAAGUGAAUGAACAAACCAAUAAAUAUAUAGUUAAAUGAAUGAAUAAAAUUUUG